AACUUCCGUUAAKUGAUCRGGACGUGCUUGCACUGAAUGAGAUUUUAACACGAAGUGAGUGGCGGACGGGUGAGUAACACGUGGGUAACCUGCCCAGAAGCRGGGGAUAACACCUGGAAACAGAUGCUAAUACCGUAUAACAGAGAAAACCGCCUGGUUUUCUUUUAAAAGAUGGCUCUGCUAUCACUUCUGGAUGGACCCGCGGCGCAUUAGCUAGUUGGUGAGGUAACGGCUCACCAAGGCGAUGAUGCGUAGCCGACCUGAGAGGGUAAUCGGCCACAUUGGGACUGAGACACGGCCCAGACUCCUACGGGAGGCAGCAGUAGGGAAUCUUCCACAAUGGACGCAAGUCUGAUGGAGCAACGCCGCGUGAGUGAAGAAGGGUUUCGGCUCGUAAAGCUCUGUUGUUAAAGAAGAACGUGGGUGAGAGUAACUGUUCACCCAGUGACGGUAUUUAACCAGAAAGCCACGGCUAACUACGUGCCAGCAGCCGCGGUAAUACGUAGGUGGCAAGCGUUAUCCGGAUUUAUUGGGCGUAAAGCGAGCGCAGGCGGUCUUUUAAGUCUAAUGUGAAAGCCUUCGGCUCAACCGAAGAAGUGCAUUGGAAACUGGGAGACUUGAGUGCAGAAGAGGACAGUGGAACUCCAUGUGUAGCGGUGAAAUGCGUAGAUAUAUGGAAGAACACCAGUGGCGAAGGCGGCUGUCUGGUCUGUAACUGACGCUGAGGCUCGAAAGCAUGGGUAGCGAACAGGAUUAGAUACCCUGGUAGUCCAUGCCGUAAACGAUGAUUACUAAGUGUUGGAGGGUUUCCGCCCUUCAGUGCUGCAGCUAACGCAUUAAGUAAUCCGCCUGGGGAGUACGACCGCAAGGUUGAAACUCAAAAG
rnacentral:rRNA from 1 species